rnacentral:rRNA from 1 species
GACGAACGCUGGCGGCGUGCUUAACACAUGCAAGUCGAACGGAAAGGCCCUGCUCUUGUUGGGUGCUCGAGUGGCGAACGGGUGAGUAACACGCGAGUAACCUGCCCUUGACUUUGGGAUAACUUCAGGAAACUGGGGCUAAUAUCGGAUAGGAGCUCCUGCUGCACGGUGGGGGUUGGAAAAUUUCGGCGGUGGGGGAUGGUCUGGCGGCUUAUCCGCUUGUUUGUGGGGUUGGUGCUUACCAAGGCUUUGAAGGGUAGCCGACCUGAGAGGGUGACCGGCCACAUUGGUACUGAGAUACGGCCCAGACUCCUACGGGAGGCAGCAGUCGGAAAUAUUGCACAAUGGGCGGGAGCCAGAUGCAGCAACGCCGCGUGCGGGAUGACGGCCUUCGGGUUGUAAACCGCUUUCUCCUUUGACAAGGCGUGAGUGACGGUAAUGGGUAAAGAAGCACCGGCUAACUACGUG